CCUACGGGAGGCAGCAGUGAGGAAUAUUGGUCAAUGGACGAGAGUCUGAACCAGCCAAGUAGCGUGAAGGAUGACUGCCCUAUGGGUUGUAAACUUCUUUUAUAUGGGAAUAAAAUGUUCCACGUGUGGGAUUUUGUAUGUACCAUAUGAAUAAGGAUCGGCUAACUCCGUGCCAGCAGCCGCGGUAAUACGGAGGAUCCGAGCGUUAUCCGGAUUUAUUGGGUUUAAAGGGAGCGUAGGUGGAUUGUUAAGUCAGUUGUGAAAGUUUGCGGAUCAACCGUAAAAUUGCAGUUGAAACUGGCAGUCUUGAGUACAGUAGAGGUGGGCGGAAGUCGUGGUGUAGCGGUGAAAUGCUUAGAUAUCACGAAGAACUCCGAUUGCGAAGGCAGUUCACUGGACUGCAACUGACACUGAGGCUCGAAAGUGUGGGUAUCAAACAGGAUUAGAUACCCCGGUAGUC
rnacentral:rRNA from 1 species